UGCCCAAGAGAUCGGGAUAACACCUGGAAACAGAUGCUAAUACCGGAUAACAACAGAUGAUGCCUAUCAACUGUUUAAAAGAUGGUUCUGCUAUCACUCUUGGAUGGACCUGCGGUGCAUUAGCUAGUUGGUAGGGUAACGGCAUACCAAGGCGAUGAUGCAUAGCCAGUUGAGAGACUGAUCGGCCACAUUGGGACUGAGACACGGCCCAAACUCCUACGGGAGGCAGCAGCC
rnacentral:rRNA from 1 species